AGAGGAUGGAGCAGGCAGAAGCUGAGAGUAAACCAAGAGGAAGCCAAAAGGCAGAGAGGAAAGUAGAGGGAGAAUGCGUGAGUCAGUGAAAGAGCAGAAGUGGCAGAGACGGAGAAGCCAACUGAGGGGCUGAGGCACCAGGGAGGCAGUUUCUGUGGGACAGUGGGAGAGUCCAUUACUGGUGGGAAGGACGGAUGGACUGGAAUUCAGCCAUGAGGCUGCAGGACCUUCCUGCUUGGAUUCCUGCUCGUCUGGACUUACCAUCAUAAAACACUGUGGAUAGGACAG
rnacentral:lncRNA from 1 species